UGGGGAAUAUUGCACAAUGGGCGCAAGCCUGAUGCAGCCAUGCCGCGUGUAUGAAGAAGGCCUUCGGGUUGUAAAGUACUUUCAGCGGGGAGGAAGGGAGUAAAGUUAAUACCUUUGCUCAUUGACGUUACCCGCAGAAGAAGCACCAGCUAACUCCGUGCCAGCAGCCGCGGUAAUACGGAGGGUGCAAGCGUUAAUCGGAAUUACUGGGCGUAAAGCGCACGCAGGCGGUUUGUUAAGUCAGAUGUGAAAUCCUCGGGCUCAACCUGGGAACUGCAUCUGAUACUGGCAAGCUUGAGUCUCGUAGAGGGGGGUAGAAUUCCAGGUGUAGCGGUGAAAUGCGUAGAGAUCUGGAGGAAUACCGGUGGCGAAGGCGGCCCCCUGGACGAAGACUGACGCUCAGGUGCGAAAGCGUGGGGAGCAAACAGG
rnacentral:rRNA from 1 species